UCUGCCUUCUAAUUUUAAUUUGCAGUUUUUUUGUGGUAAUUGCCAAAGCAAUUGCUAUGUUCAUUGCUUUGAUGUGUGGAUGGCAAACAAUAAAGUAUUUGACUAAUUAAUUCUUGAUUUUCAUCACCUUCUGCAAUUAUCUUUUCCAGAAAAGCGCUUUCUAGGUAUACUCUUAACAGAUGUGUUGAUAUUUGACUCACGCGCAGAGGAUGUUGAGCUUAAGCACGUCUAAUGGAAUUACUUCAUGCUUCUACAGAUGAUUGAAAGUAUGUGGAAUAAAUAGCUCUGAACUAAUCUAUAAAUGGUUAUAGUAAAAUAUGUUGCUUUUGUAAAAUGCUUGACCAAGAGGAUUAUGACACUAUGUGGAGUUAUCAUUGUCAUGUGUCUCUUUUCUAGCUCCGUUGGACCUCUAAAGCUUUAUAUUACUGAGAUGAAUAUUUAUGUUCUAAGGAAACAGAAAAAUGAUCAACGAUGGAGCUUCAGAGAUCUUGGAUGGAUUCUGUGUCUAUCUACGUAUGCCUAAAAAUGUGUUCUUUAGUGUAAACCUAUGUUGUUUGGAUUCUUCAAAAUUGUCUUAAACAAAAAUGUCUGAGGGAUAUGUUUCAGAUUUGUCAAAAGUAGUGUAUUUUUGAAAAAUCCGACACGGAUGAAAAGUGAAGAAUUUGCGGAACCAAGGUGUAAACUGAAGUACACAUCAACCAAUUUACUUAUAUAUAGAAUUUGCUAGCGUCAAUAUAUUAAGAU